rnacentral:rRNA from 1 species
UGAGGAAUAUUGCGCAAUGGAGGCAACUCUGACGCAGCCAUGCCGCGUGCAGGAAGAAGGCGCUACGCGUUGUAAACUGCUUUUAUCCGGGAAGAAACCCCUCCACGCGUGGAGGGUUGACGGUACCGGAGGAAUAAGCACCGGCUAACUUCGUGCCAGCAGCCGCGGUAAUACGAAGGGUGCAAGCGUUAUCCGGAUUCAUUGGGUUUAAAGGGUGCGUAGGCGGGAUAGCAAGUCAGUGGUGAAAUCCCGUGGCUUAACCACGGAAUUGCCAUGGAUACUGCUGUUCUUGAGUACGCUCGACGUGGGCGGAAUGUGCCGUGUAGCGGUGAAAUGCUUAGAUAUGGCACAGAACACCGAUAGUGAAGACAGCUCACGAGGGCGAAACUGACGCUGAGGCACGAAAGCGUGGGGAUCAAACA